GCAAUGGUAUUCCAGUGGUAGAAUUCUCCUUUCCCAUGGAGGAGCCUGAGGUUCAAUUCCUAGCCAAUGUA
rnacentral:tRNA from 1 species